UACGUAGGGUGCAAGCGUUUGUCCGGAAUUAUUGGGCGUAAAGAGCUCGUAGGCGGUCUGUCACGUCGGCUGUGAAAUCCCGAGGCUCAACCUCGGGUCUGCAGUCGAUACGGGCAGGCUAGAGUUCGGUAGGGGAGACUGGAAUUCCUGGUGUAGCGGUGAAAUGCGCAGAUAUCAGGAGGAACACCGGUGGCGAAGGCGGAUCUCUGGGCCAUUACUGACGCUGAGGAGCGAAAGCGUGGGGAGCGAACAGG
rnacentral:rRNA from 1 species